UGGAUCCAGACUUUGAUCAUGGCUCAGGACGAACGCUAGCUACAGGCUUAACACAUGCAAGUCGAGGGGAAACGAUAGAGAAAGCUUGCUUUUUCUAGGCGUCGACCGGCGCACGGGUGAGUAACGCGUAUCCAACCUGCCCACCACUUGGGAAUAACCUUGCGAAAGUAAGACUAAUACCCAAUGAUAUCUCUAGAAGACAUCUGAAAGAGAUUAAAGAUUUAUCGGUGAUGGAUGGGGAUGCGUCUGAUUAGCUUGUUGGCGGGGUAACGGCCCACCAAGGCGACGAUCAGUAGGGGUUCUGAGAGGAAGGUCCCCCACAUUGGAACUGAGACACGGUCCAAACUCCUACGGGAGGCAGCAGUGAGGAAUAUUGGUCAAUGGGCGAGAGCCUGAACCAGCCAAGUAGCGUGCAGGAUGACGGCCCUAUGGGUUGUAAACUGCUUUUAUAAGGGAAUAAAGUGAGCCUCGUGAGGCUUUUUGCAUGUACCUUAUGAAUAAGGACCGGCUAAUUCCGUGCCAGCAGCCGCGGUAAUACGGAAGGUCCGGGCGUUAUCCGGAUUUAUUGGGUUUAAAGGGAGCGUAGGCCGGAGAUUAAGCGUGUUGUGAAAUGUAGAUGCUCAACAUCUGCACUGCAGCGCGAACUGGUUUCCUUGAGUACGCACAAAGUGGGCGGAAUUCGUGGUGUAGCGGUGAAAUGCUUAGAUAUCACGAAGAACUCCGAUUGCGAAGGCAGCUCACUGGAGCGCAACUGACGCUGAAGCUCGAAAGUGCGGGUAUCGAACAGGAUUAGAUACCCUGGUAGUCCGCACGGUAAACGAUGGAUGCCCGCUGUUGGUCUGAAUAGGUCAGCGGCCAAGCGAAAGCAUUAAGCAUCCCACCUGGGGAGUACGCCGGCAACGGUGCAACUCAAAGGAAUUGACGGA
rnacentral:rRNA from 2 species